UACAGAGGUCUCAAGCGUUUGUUCGGAAUUACUGGGCGUAAAGGGUGCGCAGGCCGCGCGGGCAGUCAAAUGUGUAAUCCAGGGGCUCAACCCCUGAACUGCGCUUGAUACUUCCGCGCUCGAGCUUUGGAGAGGGGUCUGGGAAUUCUCGGUGUAGCAGUGAAAUGCGUGGAUAUCGAGAAGAACACUUAGGGCGUAGGCAAGACUCUGGACAAAUGCUGACGCUCAUGCACGAAGGCUAGGGUAGCGAACGGG
rnacentral:rRNA from 1 species